AGAGGGGUGACGUCACCCUUCCUGCAAGCAUGUCAGAGGGCUAAAGCAUGGAGACAGCGGUAGUAGCAUAGGACGGCGGAGCUGCCUGUGCCUAAUUCAUGCAGAGGGGGAUCCUCUGUCACCCCUCCCUUCCAUCCCACACAGCGAGCCCGGGGUGUGAUCGCACCAGCCCUCGCAGACGCCCCUUUUCUGUGGACUGCAUCCUGUUAUAGACCUGGGACCGAGCCAGGGGCGGGAGAGCAGCUUGCCAAAGGAAAAAGAAAUUCGCCGGCCGGCAAGCUUGUGUGUGAACUGGGCUAGGAUCGGGAA